UAUUAUUGUCCAAGGUCACACAGCAGACCUGUGGCAGAGCCAGGAUUAGAACCCACGACCUCUGACUCCCAAGCCCGUGUUCUCGCCACUAGGCCACACUGCUGUUAAUGUGUUUCAUUGUCAAGGAUCUCGAUGCAAAGUGACAGAAGAAUGAGAAAAUUCUGGAAAAAGGAAUUUCCAUUUUCCAACAUAGCUCUUUCCUAGGUUUCUCUAAGACCCAACGGUUCCCCUAAAGGUUCAGAGGGACAGCAGCAAGAACCUGCAGUAUGAAAAGACACAGAACUGUUCCAUGUGGUCAGAGGCACUCUUCCUUGUGGCAGUCUGGGGUCCCACUCAGCAGUGAACCAUCUCAUUGCAUUCUCUGAACCACGAAAACAUCACAGCCCAGCCAUUGCUCAGGAGAUUCCCGGGAAUCCUGUGACUGGAGUGGCAGGGAAAACCACAGAAGUGCACCAAAGGAAACAGGAAGAAAGGGAAAAGAAAAGGGAAAGGAAAUGCAAUUCUCCUUCCCAUCUCAUCGUUGGUCACUGAUAGUCUCUAUCUGGUAGAAAACAAUGAGCAGAAAUUAUUUCCUUACUAAUGAGAUGUUCAUCCCCUUGAUUCUAUUUAUUGCUAUUGUUCUUGUCUGUCCAUCUCCCCUGAUUAGACUGUAAGCCCGUCAAAGGGCAGGUACUGUCUCUAUCUGUUACCGAUUUGUACAUUCCAAGCGCUUAGUACAGUACUUUGCACAUAGUAAGUGCUCAAUAAAUACUAUUGAAUUGAAUGAAUAAACAGGUUUGGUUCUGCCCUUCUUUAUUCUUCAAAGACUGGAUUUGUUAGAAAUAAGAAGAUUCCUUCUGUCCCAAGGUGAACCCGGAG
rnacentral:lncRNA from 1 species